UCAUGGGUGGUCCAGUGGUUAGGACUCUGCCUUAAAAGCUGAGGGCAGGGGUUCAAUCUCUUGUCUAGGAA
rnacentral:tRNA from 1 species